rnacentral:rRNA from 1 species
UACGUAGGUGGCAAGCGUUGUCCGGAUUUACUGGGCGUAAAGAGCGCGCAGGCGGUCGUGCAAGUCGCGUGUGAAAGCCCCCGGCUCAACUGGGGAGGGUCACGCGAUACUGCUCGACUUGAAGGCAGGAGAGGGAAGUGGAAUUCCCGGUGUAGUGGUGAAAUGCGUAGAUAUCGGGAGGAACACCAGUGGCGAAGGCGACUACCUGGCCUGUUUCUUGACGCUGAGGCGCGAAAGCUAGGGGAGCAAACGGG